UACGUAGGGUGCAAGCGUUGUCCGGAAUUAUUGGGCGUAAAGAGCUCGUAGGCGGUCUGUCGCGUCUGCUGUGAAAACUCAGGGCUUAACCCUGAGCUUGCAGUGGGUACGGGCAGACUAGAGUGCGGUAGGGGAGACUGGAAUUCCUGGUGUAGCGGUGAAAUGCGCAGAUAUCAGGAGGAACACCGGUGGCGAAGGCGGGUCUCUGGGCAGUAACUGACGCUGGAGGAGCGAAAGCCGUGGGGAGCGAACAGG
rnacentral:rRNA from 1 species